CCUACGGGGGACAGCAGUGAGGAAUAUUGGUCAAUGGCCGGAAGGCUGAACCAGCCAAGCCGCGUGAGGGAGGAAGGUGCUAAGCAUCGUAAACCUCUUUUGUCAGGGAACAAAAUGCGGGACGUGUCCCGGACUGAGGGUACCUGAAGAAGAAGCAUCGGCUAACUCCGUGCCAGCAGCCGCGGUAAUACGGAGGAUGCGAGCGUUAUCCGGAUUUAUUGGGUUUAAGGGGUGCGUAGGCGGCCUUUUAAGUCAGCGGUAAAAGCCGGGGGCUCAACCCCGGCGAGCCGUUGAAACUGGGGGGCUUGAGAGGGCGAGAGGCAUGCGGAAUGCGUGGUGUAGCGGUGAAAUGCUUAGAUAUCGCGCAGAACCCCGAUUGCGAAGGCAGCAUGCCG
rnacentral:rRNA from 1 species